GAGGUCCCGCCUGCCCUGUGACUAUGGGUUUAACGGCCGCGGUAUUUUGACCGUGCGAAGGUAGCGCAAUCACUUGUCUUUUAAAUGAAGACCUGUAUGAAUGGCAUCACGAGGGCUUAGCUGUCUCCUCUCCCAAGUCAAUGAAAUUGAUCUGUCCGUGCAGAAGCGGGCAUAAGUACAUAAGACGAGAAGACCCUAUGGAGCUUUAGACACCAGGCAGAUCACGUCAAGUAACCUUAAAUUAAUAAGUGGAAACGCAGUGACCCCUAGCCCAUAUGUCUUUGGUUGGGGCGACCGCGGGGGAAAAUAAAGCCCCCAUGUGGACUGGGGGCACUGCCCCCACAGCCGAGAGCUACAGCUCUAAGCACCAGAAUUUCUGACCAAAAAUGAUCCGGCGAACGCCGAUCAACGGACCGAGUUACCCUAGGGAUAACAGCGCAAUCCUCUCCCAGAGUCCCUAUCGACGAGGGGGUUUACGACCUCGAUGUUGGAUCAGGACAUCCUAAUGGUGCAGCCGCUAUUAAGGGUUCGUUUGUUCAACGAUUAAAGUCCUACGUGAUC
rnacentral:rRNA from 1 species